GGACGCUAGCGGCAGGCUUAACACAUGCAAGUCGAGGGGCAGCGGGGAGGAAGCUUGCUUUCUCCGCCGGCGACCGGCGCACGGGUGAGUAACACGUAUGCAACCUGCCCCUGUCAGGGGGACAACCCGCCGAAAGGCGGGCUAAACCCGCGUACAUGCCACCGGGGCAUCCCGGAGGCAGGAAAGGCUUCGGCCGGACAGGGAUGGGCAUGCGGCGCAUUAGGCAGUAGGCGGGGUAACGGCCCACCUAACCGACGAUGCGUAGGGGUUCUGAGAGGAAGGUCCCCCACACUGGUACUGAGACACGGACCAGACUCCUACGGGAGGCAGCAGUGAGGAAUAUUGGUCAAUGGUCGGGAGACUGAACCAGCCAAGCCGCGUGAGGGAGGAAGGUACAGAGUAUCGUAAACCUCUUUUGUCAGGGAACAAAGACUGGGACGCGUCCCCGGAUGAGUGUACCUGAAGAAGAAGCAUCGGCUAACUCCGUGCCAGCAGCCGCGGUAAUACGGAGGAUGCGAGCGUUAUCCGGAUUUAUUGGGUUUAAAGGGUGCGCAGGCGGUCUGUUAAGUCAGCGGUCAAAGCCCGGGGCUCAACCCCGGCCCGCCGUUGAAACUGGCAGUCUCGAGUUGGAGAGAAGUAUGCGGAAUGCGCGGUGUAGCGGUGAAAUGCAUAGAUAUCGCGCAGAACUCCGAUUGCGAAGGCAGCAUGCCGGCUCCACACUGACGCUGAGGCACGAAAGCGUGGGUAUCGAACAGGAUUAGAUACCCUGGUAGUCCACGCAGUAAACGAUGAAUGCUGGCUGUCCGGGGGGACUGACCCCUGGGUGGCGAAGCGAAAGCGAUAAGCAUUCCACCUUGGGAGUACGCCGGCAACGGUGAAACUCAAAGGAAUUGACGGGGGCCCGCACAAGCGGAGGAACAUGUGGUUUAAUUCGAUGAUACGCGAGGAACCUUACCCGGGCUCAAACGGGGAGUGACUCAGGCAGAGACGCCUGUUUCCCACGGGACACUCCCCGAGGUGCUGCAUGGUUGUCGUCAGCUCGUGCCGUGAGGUGUCGGCUUAAGUGCCAUAACGAGCGCAACCCCCGCGUGCAGUUGCUAACAGAUAACGCUGAGGACUCUGCACGGACUGCCGGCGCAAGCCGCGAGGAAGGCGGGGAUGACGUCAAGUCAGCACGGCCCUUACGUCCGGGGCGACACACGUGUUACAAUGGGUGGUACAGCGGGAAGCCAGGCGGCGACGCCGAGCGGAACCCGAAAUCCACUCUCAGUUCGGAUCGGAGUCUGCAACCCGACUCCGUGAAGCUGGAUUCGCUAGUAAUCGCGCAUCAGCCAUGGCGCGGUGAAUACGUUCCCGGGCCUUGUACACACCGCCCGUCAAGCCAUGGGAGCCGAGGGCGCUUGAAGUGCGUCGCCGCGAGGCGCGCCCUAGAGCGAAAUCGGUGACU
rnacentral:rRNA from 1 species